ensembl:lncRNA
AGACCCCUUUGGCAAUCUGUCCUGCUGGGCCCCAUGAGAUGGGUAUUUAUGCUACGAGCAUCCUACUAAAUUGUGCAUUGGGAUCCAGCUGUAUCAGUGGGAUACCUGUGGUCCUGUCUGCCCUUGUGUGCAUCCCUUGCAGGCAUUACAGGCUGGGGCUUUGGAGCUUGUGAGAAGAAAUGACUGCAGGCCAAGAGUCCUGUACAUAUGUCAGUAUCCCAAGUGCAAUGAAUUCCACAGCUCCUGCUAUGAAUACAGCUCUGGCUUACGAGAUACUCGAUCACAGAGGUGGGUGGUGAUGGACUGUACCACCCGCACGCACCUCUCAAGCCUUUCUCCUGUCCUUAGGGUCACCGUGGUGUCUCCCUGAGGAGUUGCAGAGCUGAAGGGUCAACACAUUUGUGCAUGUCAUGCUGCAACCCAUAUCAAACUAACAAAACCAUGAGCAAGAGGGCCAACCUUUCCCCCUUUUCUUCCAAGCCUUUCAGGUCGACCAUUCCACCCCACAUCGUCCAUCCCUCCCACGGGGUUAGUUUUCCCUUUGGGCCUCCUGGCUCAUGAGGAAGCAUCUUUUCUGCAGGCAAGGUGCUGAAGGAGGAGGGAGCGAGGUGACCCUGCGGUCUCUGCGGCUGCGAUGGAACAACACGUGCCCACUUGUGAAACAUAUGACAGGCUGCAGGCUUGAGCACCAAAACACCACUUGCGGUUUCCCCAGAUGUCCCAGAGCCGGUCCUUCCUCAGAAACCACCAUAUUGGGCUCGCCUGGAGCCACCUGCUAUGUAUUCAGGGCUCUUUCAUUUUCCACCCCAAGACCGCGGAAGAGCAAGGGGAACAGAGGUACCUUUGUUUGGAGCCCUCUGUGCUUUAUUUUUAGUGUUGCCAUGCUGCCUCAGAGCCAAGAGUGUGGUUUAGGAGCUGUGCUGCAUCUUGCUCCGUGAAGCCAGCAGCACAGCUCCCAGUCCAAACAGCACCCAGACCAAGAGGAGACAGCUGGUGGGCGGCCAAGAUGUGGGAAGGAGACCAUGGGAUGGGGCUGUGUGGCAGAGGGGAGUUGUAAGAACAGUGAUGUAGGGUUGUCACGGAGUUAUCCAUGGUUGGAUAAAGGGUUUGUCCUCUUUUGGAUGAAGGCUUUGGUAGGACUUGCAGUUGGGAUCAUGUUUAAUGCCUUGCGUAAGGUGGACAUCCCUGGCUCUGCCCAUCUCCAAAACGUAACACAAGAGAAGCAUCCAAGGCUGAUGCUCACUCACAGGCAGAGCACCAGAAGCCCCAGCAGACAGAGGAAUGUUUCGAGGUACCCAUGCCACACUGCACAUGGCUUUGGCCCAGACUUUCUGUGGCCUCUGUAUGAGCUCUGAGUAGUUUCUGCAGAUCUGAUGCUGACCCAAAGGUGCAUCCUGCAUACCCAUCCCUGCACCUCACCUCGCCUGAUGAGUUGCUCCCUGCAGCUGCACUGAAUCUCAGUGGUUUGGAGCUCAAAGACUUUCAUUGGUUUCUGUUCACUUGGGUUCUUCUCUACGGCCUCAUCAAAGUGAAACCUCAGUGCCUUGUGUUGGCUCUUCUUCGUCAACUGCUCGUCCAUCAACAAGCCCCACAGCAGCCCAUGUCUCCUCCAGCUGAUGGCUCCUGGAACGUUAUUUGGGUCCAAAGCCAACCUUACUCUUGAGAUACAUCAGGCUGGAAGUCUCUCGUACCACUGGGAAUAAUUUUCCUUGGGAGAAAAGUAUAUCCUGCAGUGUUACCAGCCUUGAUCCUUAAUGUUGUGUGAUGUUCCCAUAGAUUCCCAUGACGUAGCCUUCAACAAAUGCAGACAGACCCACCGCCCAUGGCUUCAGAAGCAGAAUUCUGGUCUGUAAGUACAACCAGUGCCUAUUCUUCUCUACGGCAUGCUUGAAAUACUGUGUAAGAAGUCAGAAUUAUUGGAAUACCAUGGUGACAAGUCUCCUACGUGAAACACAGACUCACUGGGCUGGUUAGAAGGAUGUUGAGGUCUGGAUCAAGAUAACUUCUGAGAUUUUGUCUGUCUGUCUCAUUCUGUAGAAACAGGAAGAGCUCUACAGCCAUCCCUAUCCCUCUGGAGGCCAAGUAGAGGCAACCACAGCUCAAUGGAAGGUCCAAACUCACAGUCAAACUGCUCAGGAAUACAAUGCAAACCAGCUACAGCUGCUUCCUCCAGCCCAUUGCUGCUUGGCCUGGGCCCCACCGGCCCCCAUAGGCGUUAGAAAAACAGUCACUUUUUAUUUCUAGACACCAGGGUUUCCAACUGGUUUGAUUGCUCAACGUCCCAUUUCAGCACAGCAGCCUGUCCACGAUGAGCAUCUCCAGGCUCUUCCUGUGAGCGUGUUGUAAUAUGGGAAGCACCUUGCUUUGCAUGGUCACCAGCUGAAGGACAUCUCCCUGCCCCAAAGAGCUGGCCAGUCCUAACACCAAGGAAACCUCUGUGAUGCCUCAUGAAGGAACCUUGGUGGGAUAACUCACCUGCAGUCAUCUUCAGCAGAGCUCAAAGGUUUGGAUUUCUACUCUGCCCUGCUGGUGAAACUUGGUUCAUGCAUCAAAUCACAGCCCUCAUAAAAUCAACCCUGUGCAGGUAAUGGGGGUAAAGGGGAGGGAUGCUCUGAAGGCAUCUCACCAGCCUUGGGUUGGCUGAGAGCUGGGCAGAAGAGGCAGUGGGGAGAGCUGAGAGUGAGGGCUGCGUUCACAGGAGCUGAGCCCUUCGGGCAGGCAACGUGCUGGGUUCCCCAAGCAAAAUGUGGCUGCAAAUACUAGGGCUCACAUGGAGGAAGGGAGAUUCCAGACUCUAUCAAGAAUGACAGCCACUUAUUUCUCCGAAUCCAUUUCUCUGAUCAUUUUUUGCCAUGACACCAGAUACAAGACCAUAAAAACAAGCUCCACCUAAGCCACAGCUGUGGAAAUACAGAGAAAUACCACGAUACAUAUUUUGUUUUGUCAGACCCUUGGGUUUAUUAUGACACCAAGGCUGUGAAACCAAGGCCCAGGUUGAAAUACCCUCCUUCCCCACUGAGUUUGCAUGUGUCUAGAUGUUGUGUCCUACUCUAUUUUUGCUGGGUGCAAUUUGCUUCCAGCAGUGCAAACACCCCGAUGCAACAGCAUGGCCAGGAGUGUCAAAUAUAGGCAGGCAGGCAGUCACAAGCCAACCCACUCAGAUAGCAGAGAACCCGGGCUUGUACGAAAGAAGAACAUGGAAGAACUUUGACUCAGCUCUAAAACUGAGUCAGCUCAAGGAAACGGAGAAAAGAUAAAGGAUAUCCCAGGUCGCUGCACAAAGAGAUCUUUGUAAUGGGGGUAAUUAAAAGAACAAUAACUCUUAAGUUGGAGAAAAAUGCAUUUUCCCUAUUUCUCCCACAGCGCGUGACAGCAGAUGGAUGUUAAAGUGUUUGUCCUACUUCUUGCUAGAGUGGCAGUUGCAAACUUCCUUACUUGAUGUCUUACAGGCCAGGAACCACAAACUGCAAUGAGAUUUUGAAUUUU